AAGCCCCGACUGUUUACCAAAAACAUCGCCUCUUGUCCCCCUAAAAUAAGAGGCAUUGCCUGCCCCGUGACCACAUGUUCAACGGCCGCGGUAUGUUAACCGUGCGAAGGUAGCGUAAUCACUUGUCUUUUAAAUAAGGACCUGUAUGAAGGGUGAUACGAGGGCUUAGCUGUCUCCCUCUUCCAGUCAAUGAAACUGAUCUUCCCGUGCAGAAGCGGGAAUAAUAACAUAAGACGAAAAGACCCUGUGGAGCUUUAAGAUAAUGAGUCGACCAGGAUAAGUACACCCGAUACAGAGCUACAAUGCUGAAUACCGACCCUGAAUCUUCGGUUGGGGCGACCAAGGAGAAACAAGACCCCUCCACGUGGAUGGGUGCACACGAUACCACACCCUGAACUAAGAGCUACAAUUCUAAGCAACAGAACUUCUGACCUAAAUUGACCCAGUAAGACUGAUCAACGGACCAAGUUACCCCAGGGAUAACAGCGCAAUCCUCUUCUAGAGUUCAUAUCGACAAGAGGGUUUACGACCUCGAUGUUGGAUCAGGACAUCCUAAUGGUGUAACCGCUAU
rnacentral:rRNA from 1 species